rnacentral:lncRNA from 1 species
UAGAAGAGACAUAAUCGAUUAUUUCGUUGCUUUAAAAAUCCGGUUAUACACUGUCUUAACAUAAUCGAUUAUAGGAAAUACAUAAUCGAUUAUUUAUGUCCAGAUUUGAAAAACAUGUUUGAAAAUCAUUUUGGCUAAAAUGAAAGUGUUUGAAAAUCAUUUUGGUUUAAAUCAAUGAUGCAUGAAAAUGAUUUUACGAGAGAAGCCAAGACUUGAAUAAGUUGUCGGAUCAAGAUCACACUAUA